UUAAAACACCUGUUCUUGUAUGAUCGCCAAAGUUAAGCAACAUUGAGCUCUCUCAGUACCUAGAUGGGUGAUCACUUGGGAAUACCAGGUACUGUA